AUGAAGAAUGGAGGCAAUUCAAUUGGUGUUGCGUCUGCAAUUUACGAAGAAUGCUCCUUUCUAUGUCAAGGUUUUGUGAAUGUCAAAUUCGAUCAUUGUCCUAGGGAAGCCAAUCAAAUUGCGCAUAUUUUAGCUUGUAAUUCUAAUGUUUCUCUUACUAACAGGCGGCAGCUAGCAGGAAUCUUCCCUUUUUUAUCUUAA
rnacentral:rRNA from 1 species